rnacentral:sRNA from 1 species
GCAAGGAAUUGGUGGCCCGCUCCAGCGAGUUUCUCGAUGGUCAGCUCGGCCUGCGUUCGCGCAUGUCAGUACGCCUGCACCUGGCCAUGUGUCAGCACUGCCGGCGGUUUAUCAAACAGAUGCGCCUGAGCCAGGCGGUGCUGCGCCAACUGCCGCCCGGGCAAAGCGCCGAGCUGGAUGCCUUGGCCGCCAAGCUGGCCGAGUUGCGUCGUAAUCAUUCCUGAUCGCCAGGCCACUGGCCUGGC